GCGUUCAGAGACUUUCUUCAGGACACUGGGACAAGCUGCAUUACUUGGAGACUGCCACAGCCAAUCCAGAUGUCACUGAUGCAACACCUGACUUGGCAACAUCUGGUAAACUUAUCAGCAAGGAGGCUUAUGGCUGAGCAAAUAUAAAGAUAGUUCAUUUUCACACACAUGGAGUUUGGGGCAUAUCAGCAAGGUAGUAAGUCAGCACAACUCUCCUUAAUGCUAUGUCUGCUUUUAUAAUAACUUUUCAGGUCUAUCAUUCCACAGCUUUGUGUUUAGGUCAUGCUGAUCCUCUGGCCUGUAAAGGAAAGAGCCAUGUCCUUUUACCUUACUAAUGAAUCCUCGCUGAAUUUAAUGGGGCAGAACCUUGCUGGUGUUUAAAUCAACACAGCAAGAAGACUCUUUACUAAACACAGUGCUGUGCCAUGUAGGGCAAUGUGGAUCAGUUGGGAGGAGGGAGGAGACAGACAGGGUAACCCCAAAAGCAGAGGAAAAAAAAUAAAUCAUUUUGCAGAAUCUUGACUGAUACCUGUGCCUCUCCCUAAUGUUUUCUUGGGUUUCUUUACACUUUUCAGGGAGAAAGAAAAGGAGAUAGAAAGCACUCGCCCUUCCUUUCCUGUAUGCAGAGAACUCUUCUUCUGGAAGGCCAUUAGGAUGGUACAUGACAGUGUGACACCCCUGUGUUAAUUUAAAACUCAGUUGGUGAUCCCAAGGCAAACUUCAGGCCACUUCAAAUAAAGUGUGUGCAUGUGUAUAUGUACAGUGGAAAAAGUCAGGGGGUUCUGUUAACAGCAUUUUGCUUGACAGAGCCUUCACAUACUAAGUACUGUGGCCAGUCCCUAUUGUGCUUUUCAUUUCCUUGCUUUCUGUUUUCUUAGGAGAACUUUUAUUUUUCUAGAAUAUUAUUUUUCAGCUCUGAUUUUCAAAGGCCUUCGCUAUAAGGAGCUUUUUCUCUGCUAACACACUUGUGGGGGGCCUUUGGCUUUAAUUUAACAUUCCAUCUGGGUUUCUGGGACAUGGCUUUAAGUGUAGAAUUCCCCCAGGAAUAACAAAUAAUCCAUUUUGUUCCCUUUAACAUUUGUUGUAUGCUGCCUUACUUUCAACCAAGCAGACACAUUUAGUGACCAUCACUGGCUACCUCUGUCAGCAACUCCUCCACUCCCCCAUCUCCAAACACAGAAAGUACAAAUAACAGACUUUGCUUCAGAGGUGGCAGUGGUGGGGGAGAGCGGUCAAGCCUGUUAUUGCCAAAACACAAGACUUCAAGCCAGAGCUCAAUGAAAACAAACAUGCUGCUAGAAAAGAAGGUGAAAAGUGAAUCAAAGUUCUGCUGCCUCAGGGAAAAUAACCUCACCAUUUGUUUCAUCAUCUAAGCUUCUCCUCAGGACAGCACUGAGGCAGCUCAGUUUUGCAAAGCUCAGCAGUGAAAUUGCAACCAAACAUAGUUCACGUAAGGGGAGAAUUACCUCAGAGGCAUUAAGAGAGAGCAAAAGCUUGCAUCAGCUUUCGCACGGGCACAGCAGCUGACAUAUGGCACAAUGCAACAAGCAACCAAACCCAGAGCUAUUUGGCAGUGACCUACACAUCUGCUGGAGUAAGAACCAAGGCCUUAGGGCACAGUUGAAACCAAGCUAGGCUGAAUGAGAAAAAGCAACUUCCCCGUUCUUUCUUACAGUGCAUCUAUGUGCAGCACAGCUGAUUGCAGCACAUUAGGAAUGGGGCCAUACCUAUUAUAACAUCUUACAGAAAAUAACUCUAAAAUUA